CCAAAAUAUUUCCCUCCCUUCCUCUCUCUCCAUCUCCUCUCCUCAACCCCCAUCAUGAACCGGCCACCGUCGACGACUCACAAGCCCGCCACCGUCGACCAUUCACGAGCCCGCCACUCCAUUGUGCGUUCUCCAUCUCCGACCAAAACCCAACCACCGUGGUUCUCCAUCUCCGGUUCGGCUCCGACGACCCAACCACCGUACCGCCACGAGCAGCCCCAGCCGAACCACCACCACCGCCGACGAGCCCAUCCCCCGAAUUGGAGGGACAAAGUUGGCUAAGAUUUGGGCUCCCACAGUUACUGCGACCAUUUCCCUCCCCCAUUUCCGGCACCGAACAAAUGCUAUAUGCAACAACUACUAUGUGGACUUGACCAUUGUCAUAGUCAUGGUGUUUGGAAAUGGUAUCACUCACAGCAUUGGACCACCAUAUGCAUCAGCUUUAUAGCACAAGCCAGUAGAUGGUUUUACUUUGUCAGGAGUUCACACAGCAGGCAAUGUAGAAAAUCCCCCUUUUUUAUGUCUACUUUGUCCAUUUCAUUUCCUUGAAGAUGAAAAAUGGUUAAUUGUCCAGAUUCAUCGGCAUGUAAUCAUUUACCCUUUCCCAAUUUGCUUAGAAAAAAAAAAAAAAAAAUUGUUUAUAUCAUGAAUUUGUUAGAGAUCCUUCAAAUGUACUACUGAGGUUCAUCAACAAGCAAGUGUCAUUUAAUGAUGUUCAAUGGCUUGUGUUAUACUAACAUAGCAUGAAUAAGUAACGAGCUUCACCUUACUGUUCAUAUCUCUUAUUUGUUUGGGCAUCAUGAUGACAACAGUUAUCGUUUAUAAGUUGAGCAACUGCAUAAAAUCUUCAAACUUUGUGGGUCACCUUUUGAAGAGUAUUGGAAGAAGUCAAAAUUGCCACAUGCAACCAUCUUUAAGCCUCAACAUCCUUACAAGCGUACAGUUGCUGAGACAUUCAAGGACUUUCCUGAUCCAGCAUUGGCCCUUUUGGAUGUCCUUCUUGCAGUAGAACCCGAGGGCUGUGGAACAGCUUCUUCUGCACUCCAGAGUGAGGGAAGAGUUUAGAUACGGGAGGUCAUUGUAGGCACUGAAGACCUUGUUGAUUGAGGUGGUGUAUUCCAAAUCAAGUGUAGUUUUUUUGGAUGAUGAGAUUAGGAAGUCUGUUGAGAGGGUUUAAUCCUGAAUGGUAUUGUUGUGAGAAG